CAUUGCUGAACCACGGCUCUCUGUUGGCUGAAUGUUCAUGACAUCUUUUCCUGAAGCAGUUUAGAAUCUUGCACUGUGUGUCAUGGAAGCUUUGGAAGUAGAUGACAUCAGCCCCGCCUUAGAGGUUACUGAGGAUUUCUUUAGUACUUUUGACAGUAAGCUGGAAAAGGCUGUGCAACAAGCAGAGGUUUAUGGGGUCCAGGAAGUCCCUGAACUGGUGGGGCAUGAAGUACUUGGUAACAUAACAGACAAUGGUGCUUUAAGAAGCGUUGCUUCCCUGGGCAAGGGGACAAUGAUUUGGGACCACUGUAAGAGCAGGCUAUUAGAAACCAAAGCUCAAAAUGUCUUCCCUGCCAAAGAACAGCUUAUGGUCCAGAGAGGGACAGCCCCAGAUAAUCUUUCCUGGAUGGAACAGAAGGAAGCGUCAACCUUUAACUUUUUCAACAUUUGUCAGCGUCGGAGGGACAGACCUCGUUCUGUGAAUGACUUAUUGGAUGAGACCACAACUUUCAAGCCAGGACAUGCUCGGUCAAGAUCCGAUGUUACCCAUGUAGACUGGCGGGUAGUCCUUAGCACCAUGCCUUUGCAGCAGCAGCAGCAGCAGGAGGUGUCCCUUCAAGGCCCUCACUUUUCCAGGCCAUCUUUUCUGUUGUCUUCACCCAAUAAGGUUGAAGAUGCUCAAGGAAAUACAGAACACAAGCAAACAUUCCCAAACAUACUGAAGAAGGGUUAUCUGGAGAUCAGGAAGAACCAUGACAGUUACUGGCAAAGCUGUUAUGCAGAACUCUCACCCUACAACUUAAACUUCUACAGCCUUGAUAGCAGCGGGAAUCAAAGCUUGUAUGCCACGUACCAGCUUUCCCACUUCCAGAGCAUAUCUGUUUUAGGCAAUCUUGAGGCCAGGAUGGUAGAUACUGUUCUCUAUGACAAUUCUCAGCUGCAGCUAAAGGCAGAGUCCCCGUGGGAGGCAUUGGACUGGGGGCAGAAGCUCUGGGAAGUUGUGCAUGCUGCUGUGCCCAAUUACAUGGGACGGCAAGAUGAGAUGGCAAACUCUCUAGGACUUGGUCAUCAUGUUGACUGUGCACAGAACCACUGUUUACAGAAGAAAUCCAGUGGGUUGCUGGCCUCUCCUGUCUUGGAUAGCCCCAAACAGUACCAAAACAUCCUCAAAUCAGGGACACUCUACAGACUGACUGUCCAAAACAAUUGGAAGGCCUUUACAUUUGUGCUGAGCAAGGCCUAUCUUAUGGCUUUCCACCCCGGCAAGGUAGAUGAAGAUCCCCUAUUGAGUUACAAUGUGGAUGUGUGUCUGGCUGUGCAGAUAGACAACCUGGAUGGUUGUGACUCUUGCUUUCAAGUCAUUUUUCCCCAGGAUGUCCUCCGCCUCCGGGCUGAGACCCGACAGAGGGCUCAGGAAUGGAUGGAGGCUCUGAAGACAGCAGCCAACGCUGCAAGGAGUUCCGAACAAAACCUGCAGGUCACACUAAGGAACAAACCCAAGGAUCAGCUAGGUGGCCAUGAGCUGCGGAAGAGCAAACGCCAGUCUGUGACCACCAGCUUCCUGAGCAUCCUGACUACACUGUCUUUGGAGCGAGGACUCACUGCUCAGAGUUUCAAAUGUGCAGGGUGCCAGCGAUCUAUUGGUCUCUCUAAUGGCCAGGCCAAGGUGUGCAAUUACAGUGGGUGGUACUACUGCAGCAGCUGCCACGUGGAUGACAGCUUUUUCAUCCCAGCACGCAUAGUUCACAACUGGGACACCUCAAAAUACAAGGUGUCCAAACAGGCCAAGGAGUUUCUGGAGUACGUGUACGAAGAGCCCUUGAUCGACAUCCAGCAGGAGAACCCCAUGCUAUACCUACAUGCUGAGCCGCUGGCCACCGUUGUACGGCUGCGACAGCGGUUGAAAUCACUACGAGCCUAUUUGUUCAGCUGCCGGGCAGCAGUGGCAGAGGAUCUGCGACGCAGAAUUUUCCCCAGAGAAUACCUUCUUCAACAGAUCCACCUGUACUCUCUUGCUGACCUGCAGCAGGUGAUAGAGGGAAAGCUGGCUCCAUUCUUGGGCAAGGUCAUUAAAUUUGCCACCGCUCACGUCUACAGCUGCAAUCUCUGUAGCCAGAAAGGGUUCAUCUGUGAGAUCUGUAACAAUGGCGAGAUCCUCUACCCAUUCGAGGACAUCUCAACAAGCAGAUGUGAAAGCUGUGGAGCCGUCUUCCAUUCGGAGUGCAAAGAAAAGUCUGUCCCCUGCCCACGGUGCGUCCGAAGAGAGCUGCAGAAGAAGCAGAAGUCCUUCUGGCGGCAGCUGAACGUGGAUGAAAGCCUGGAGGAGGCGUGUACCAUGUUUGAGCUGUCCUACCAAAACACCUGACCGCAGGCCGGGCUACAUUCACCACAACUACCCACAGGGCUGCUCAUGCCGUGCACAUGAGGCUGUUCCUUCUUCAGCUAGAUGUAGAUAGAUAAGUUAUUUAUUUAUUUAUAUUAUAUACACCUAUACGUCCCGUACGUAUGCUUUGUAUAACUCAUUGUCAAGAAGUCCACAAAGUUCCUGUGGCUAAACUCCUACAGAUAGCUGAGUCACACUUGGCCAUGAAAUUCAGCUGCUUGCUCCCAGCAAAUGUGAUUUACACACAUUGCUCUGUAGUUCAGACCCCUUUAUGCACACUGGCUCUAAGGGCCAGUCUACUGCACAGGUAUUGGAGGAAAUAACUCUCGCAGCAAAGCUUUGCAUUGUUACUGAGAUUUAGCCUUUUCUGGGGAAACUGAGGUAGGAACCAUUCUUAUCUGCUUCACAAGGACAUCUCUAACACACAAGAAUGUUUCUGGAUACUUCCAGGCCCCAGAGUCCGUGGCAGAGAUGGCAGAGAGUGAACCAGAGGGGCACAGCAGAAAGCCAGAAACCCCUUCAACAGAAAGCAUCAGGAGCAGAGCUACCUGGGUUUGAACUUAAUCCCUGAAAGGGAGGACCUCAGUGGCCAAUCACUGCAUGCCGUCCAUCUGUUGGCUGGUGCAAAGCCAGCCCCUCCCUGAUGACGAGACUCCACGAUGCCUGCCAGAGAGUGCGCAUGGGUGCCCUAAGAACAGUUCCCAAGCAUGGCAUGGAGGACAAUGGUCAUGUUUCUUAUGGUGCUGCCCGGAAGGAAAUGUCCCAGGACUGCGCUCAAGCAUAUCAGUGCAUCAUCUGCUAGGUAGAGUCAGCUGCACGAUCUCGGAGGACACGAUGUCUCCUUUCCAGAGUCCUCCACCGGCAGGCAGGCCCACCUGUCACUUGAAUGUUUUAUUUCUCCUUGUCCUGCACAGCACUUUUGACCUUCACUCAGUCCACAUUUUCACUACUGUUCAGAUCCGGGGGAAACGCUGGCUCACAAAGAACACGGUGUUUCAACUCCAAGCUGCUCCCCACAGGCACCAGCUCCUGAUGCUUCUGUCCAGUAGGAGACAUUCAGCUGACUUGUGCAGUUAGAGGCAAGCGUUUCACCUCUUGGCCCACACCGUUUCCUUUGGCCCCAGACCACACAGUUCAACGCCACAUGUGCGUUCAUUUCCUAACUACCCAGAAGCUAUAGCCAAGGCAUGAAAUUUGGUAAAAGGCCAGGGCCCUAUUUACCAGACACCUCACGGUGCCUUUUAUAAACUCUCGGGAAGGCGUGUUGACACCACCUCACUGACAUGAGUGGUAGGGAAUGUUGCACAUAGGACAAGGAUGGGAAUUCUCAGACACUUGGCAAAACGGGCACACAGAUUUGAGUAUCUCUCUUCCUCCUAUCCGUUAAAAUACAGUAUUUAUAUUUUCCAGCCUCAGAGAAGAGAACAGAACAUGAUCUUUCACUGGAGAAUUCUAGACCUGCUUAUUAUGAAACAGAUGUGUUCCCGUGGCACAGUGCCUUCUCUCUACUCCCAAUCCCCAUUACCGUAGCUAACUCUUGACCUUUGCUGAAAUUAAUGUAUCUGUGAUUCUGACUGUCAGAGACGCCAUUCCCAGCACAGUGAGCACAGAGACCUGAAGAGCAGAGCCCCUGACCUAGGUUGGCCCCAUGUCCUGCCCCAACAGGUGCCCAAGAUCAGACAAUAAAAGCCUAGGGUAAAAUCUGGAUUCCUGCUCAACAUACCUGAGUUGUCCCCACUGUCCCUUAGAGGGCCCUGCUGUGUGUGUGCAGACCUAGGGCACUCCUAAGACCUUUCCCCAGACAUUGCUGUUUAUUUUUUAAAGGGAAAAAUAUAAGUGUGCUGUCAUCCGUGAUCUGGAACUAGAGCCGUGACCUGCUACUUCUGGUUUCACUCUGUUGUACAUCCCCACCAGCCUGGUCCAUGCCAACUCUGGGCUCCCAGUGGCAAUCUCUGCCACCACCACCCGAAUCUGAUAGGACACAUGGAGCCAGCUCUGGAGUUGGGUCUGCCAUGAAAAUUCAAAAUUGCUAUUUUCAGCCCAGAAAGCCUUAGAGUGCAUGAAGGCCCUUACUGUUUUCAGGUCUAACAAAUUACUUGGUGCAGUGUUAGGUAAUUGUUCCACUGCUUAGAAACCAUCGAAACAAAAGCAGGCCUGUGGAUUUCCACCUCUUUUUUUUUCAUCUCAGUAAAUAUCUUACAUGUAAAGCAUAAUGGAAAAUGGUCUAUUAAUCUCCUGGAGCCGCUAGCAAAGCCCAGGGAGCUGCUUUUCACUAAACAGCCCAUUCCCUGGUGUAGCACAAGAAUUCCCUCCUGCUAGUGCCAGAAACUCGUGUGUGACACCAUCCAGCCUGGGGGAAGUGUUGGCACCCAACCCCACCGUUAAGAAGCCAGUUCCUAAAAUAGACCUGCGUUUGCACUGCAGUAGGAAGGCCGCAGGGUGCUCCAAAGACAGUCAGCUACGCUGGGAGCGGAGUUCUUUCCAGGGCUGCCUGUUCUCAAAGUUGGAAGCAGCCUUAUAUGAAAACCAUGUAAACUCUGUCUUCCCCUUGACUUCAUGUGCUGAAUUACAGCCAUCUUUUGGGGGUUUUCACAUUUGAUGAGCUGAAAGGUUAACUGCUUCUUGAUUUUGCUAUAAUAGGCCGAGAGAGAGAGAGAGAGAGAGAGAGAGAGAGAGAGAGAGAGAGAGAGUGUGUGUGUGUGUUUACAGUGCCUUGGGAUUCGCAGGUUCCAAUAGAGUCUGAAACAGCCCAGGGUUGUGAUUCCCCUCAGCUGCCCCAAAACAAAGGUGUCUGUGUCACUCUGUCACUGUGGUCAAGUUGCAGCACACCCUCGGUGAGGUCUGGCCUCUGUCUCUGCUUGUCAUGUGUGCACACUGAACGUGAGCACUGACAGGUUGCUUUCUGCACCUCCUCUAGGAGGCUUGGCUUCCAGCCUUGCAAAUUUAUUCUCUAUCCGAGGGCCAGAAAACUCCAGACACAAGCUACCUAUGAGAACAGGACCACAGUGAUGCCACACACACACUGAGCACCAACAGCAAAGCCCGCUGCCAUCAAGAAAGUAGCCACACAUUCUGCUGCUAGUUCAGGGGCGUGCCCUGCCCUCUCACCCUGCAGCUCAGCAUUUGGUUCUCUCCUGUGCUUUGUUGAAGUAGCCAGAUUACGAACUACUCUUUGACCCUUAGUUGGAAUACUGCCUGGUUCCAACACAGACUAUCUCAUUUUGUUUUGUUUGUUUUUUCUCAUGUACAUAGAAAAGUGUGCAGUUUUGUUUUGGGAGCUUUCUACACUACUUUUCAUCUUCUGAAAUAAUGUGGAGAUGUCAGGAAUUUGAGACAAAAGGGAAAGAAGCUAGCCCUUUCUUCCUUGGCCAUUUUCUCCCUGGAGCCACUGGCCUUUCUCCUUAUCCAUUCCUUGGUACUG